rnacentral:rRNA from 1 species
UACAGAGGUCCCAAGCGUUGUUCGGAUUCAUUGGGCUUAAAGGGUACGUAGGCGGCGCUAUCAGUCGGGUGUGAAAGCCCUCGGCUCAACCGAGGAACCGCGCCCGAUACUGUAGUGCUUGAGGGAGACAGAGGUAAGCGGAACUGAUGGUGGAGCGGUGAAAUGCGUUGAUAUCAUCAGGAACACCGGUGGCGAAAGCGGCUUACUGGGUCUCUUCUGACGCUGAGGUACGAAAGCUAGGGGAGCGAACGGG